rnacentral:rRNA from 1 species
GAUGAACGCUGGCGGCGUGCUUAACACAUGCAAGUCGAACGGAAAGGCCCUGCUUUUGUGGGGUGCUCGAGUGGCGAACGGGUGAGUAACACGUGAGUAACCUGCCCUUGACUUUGGGAUAACUUCAGGAAACUGGGGCUAAUACCGGAUAGGAGCUCCUGCUGCAUGGUGGUGGUUGGAAAGUUUCGGCGGUUGGGGAUGGACUCGCGGCUUAUCAGUUUGUUGGUGGGGUAGUGGUCUACCAAGGCCUUGACGGGUAGCCGGCCUGAGAGGGUGUACGGCCACAUUGGGACUGAGAUACGGCCCAGACUCCUACGGGAGGCAGCAGUGGGGAAUAUUGCACAAUGGGCGGAAGCCUGAUGCAGCAACGCCGCGUGGGGGAUGACGGCCUUCGGGUUGUAAACCGCUUUCGCCUGUGACGAAGCGUGAGUGACGGUAAUGGGUAAAGAAGCACCGGCUAACUACGUG